GCCGAGAUAGCCUAGCCCGGCCAAGGCGGCAGAUUCGAAAUCUGCUGUCCUCACGGACACGGGAGUUCAAAUCUCCCUCUCGGCGUCA
rnacentral:tRNA from 1 species